rnacentral:rRNA from 1 species
UACGGAGGGUGCGAGCGUUAAUCGGAAUUACUGGGCGUAAAGGGUGCGUAGGUGGUUUGAUAAGUUAUCUGUGAAAUUCCCGGGCUCAACCUGGGCAGGUCAGAUAAGACUGUUGAACUCGAGUAUGGGAGAGGGUAGUGGAAUUUCCGGUGUAGCGGUGAAAUGCGUAGAGAUCGGAAGGAACACCAGUGGCGAAGGCGGCUACCUGGACCGGUUCUGACGCUGAAGCACGAAAGCGUGGGGAGCAAACAGG